GAUGAACGCUGGCGGCAUGCCUUACACAUGCAAGUCGAACGGUAGAGUAGCAAUACUUGAGAGUGGCGAACGGGUGAGUAAUAUAUCGGAACGUGCCCAGUCGUGGGGGAUAACGUAGAGAAAUUUACGCUAAUACCGCAUACGAUCUAAGGAUGAAAGCGGGGGAUCGCAAGACCUCGCGCGAUUGGAGCGGCCGAUAUCAGAUUAGGUAGUUGGUGAGGUAAAAGGCUCACCAAGCCGACGAUCUGUAGCUGGUCUGAGAGGACGACCAGCCACACUGGGACUGAGACACGGCCCAGACUCCUACGGGAGGCAGCAGUGGGGAAUUUUGGACAAUGGGCGAAAGCCUGAUCCAGCAAUGCCGCGUGAGUGAUGAAGGCCUUAGGGUUGUAAAGCNCUUUACCCGGGAUGAUAAUGACAGUACCGGGAGAAUAAGCUCCGGCUAACUCCGUGCCAGCAGCCGCGGUAAAGUGACUACUG
rnacentral:rRNA from 1 species